AAUUCUGGAACGAACACAAGAUGCUAGGUUUGUUGGGCGCGCGAAGGUGGCAUUACAAGAGGGAACUCCGUUGCCGUCGAAGGUCGGAUACUCGGAAGCUCCCGGUGAAGUUCCAAAAGAGCGGUUUCCUGUGGUGCAAGCUAUGGAAUGUUAAAGUAAGCUCUGACCUGGGAUACCCAGGUGGUGCUUUUGGUGAUACCUACAGUGGAGCAUGGGGGGCUUAUGAUGCACGCGGCCCUACCCGUCGCUGAACUCUUUUAUAGUGAUGCUGGAGUUUUUAGCCAUGAUGGUUGGAUUCACAACGGGGAAUUGAUUUUAGUUUUAGCUUUGUUGGUGGGUGAGAACAACAAUCUUUCUGGGUGAAGUUUGUCACUUCUAUGUUGGGGUCUUCCCCCAAAUUUUGUGGCAUGCCCUUGUUUUUCUGCCACUCUUCUUUUGGUUUCCUAAGUUCGUCGCCUUCUUUGCAGUCUGCCUGAAAGUCCGUGGAAAGUCUAAUUCAUGUAGGAGGUGUUUUCCAGUUUGUAUGGUAUUGUUAUUUAAAACAAAAAGAAUGUCGCACAUUGUUUGACAAA